rnacentral:rRNA from 1 species
UACGUGGGGACCAAGCGUUGUUCGGAUUUACUGGGCGUAAAGGGCGCGUAGGCGGCAAUUCAAGUCACUUGUGAAAUCUCUGAGCUUAACUCAGAACGGUCAAGUGAUACUGCUUUGCUAGAGUGCAGAAGGGGCAACCGGAAUUCUUGGUGUAGCGGUGAAAUGCGUAGAUAUCAAGAGGAACACCGGAGGUGAAGACGGGUUGCUGGGCUGACACUGACGCUGAGGCGCGAAAGCCAGGGGAGCAAACGGG